rnacentral:rRNA from 1 species
GACGAACGCUGGCGGCGUGCUUAACACAUGCAAGUCGAACGGAGCGAAUGAAAGCUUGCUUUUAUAAGCUUAGUGGCAAACGGGUGAGUAACACGUAGGCAACCUGCCGACAGGAUGGGGACAACAUUCCGAAAGGAAUGCUAAUACCGAAUGAAGUCGAGGGAGGGCAUCCUCCUCCGAUGAAAGAUGGCCUCUAUAUAUAAGCUAUCACCUGUCGAUGGGCCUGCGUCUGAUUAGCUGGUAGGUGAGGUAACGGCUCACCUAGGCGACGAUCAGUAGCCGGUCUGAGAGGAUGAACGGCCACAUUGGGACUGAGACACGGCCCAGACUCCUACGGGAGGCAGCAGUGGGGAAUCUUCCGCAAUGGGCGCAAGCCUGACGGAGCAACGCCGCGUGAGUGAAGAAGGUCUUCGGAUCGUAAAGCUCUGUUGAUGGGGACGAACGUGCCUAAUGCGAAUAGUUUUAGGCAAUG